UUGACCUCUGGACCACAUGGAGAGAGAAAAUUCUUAGCAUCAUUAAGGAAGCCAACUGACCAAUUAACUACUAUCUUAUGUUGGGAGGUAUGGUUGGAGAGGAAUAACAGGAUCUUCCUCAAUAAAAGCACAUCAGUUUACUUAGUCUUACAAAGAAUCUUGUCUAGAUUUCAUCUGUGGAGAAACCUAUGUUCUAAUGCUGACAUCGCAGCUCAUGACACUUUGUGGAGGAAUGUGUCGAGGUUGGCUCCCAGCUUAGUGGUUUUUGAUUGAAGGUGUUAAAUGUAGGAUUUGUAGGAGGUCAAGCUUGG
rnacentral:lncRNA from 1 species